rnacentral:rRNA from 1 species
UACGGAGGGUGCAAGCGUUAUCCGGAUUCACUGGGUUUAAAGGGUGCGUAGGUGGAUUGCCAAGUCCGUGGUGAAAUCUCUGAGCUUAACUCAGAAACUGCCGUGGAUACUGGUAAUCUUGAAUGCCGUGGAGGUUAGCGGAAUAUGUCAUGUAGCGGUGAAAUGCUUAGAUAUGACAUAGAACACCGAUUGCGAAGGCAGCUGACUACACGGUGAUUGACACUGAGGCACGAAAGCGUGGGGAUCAAACAGG